AGUCGAGGGGCAGCGAUGUAGCAAUACAGUCGGCGACCGGCGCACGGGUGCGUAACACGUAUGCAACCUGCCUUCAACUGGGAGAUAGCCCGGGGAAACUCGGAUUAAUACCCCAUAACACAGUGAGUCAGCAUUGAUUUAUUGUUAAAGCUCCGGCGGUUGAAGAUGGGCAUGCGUUCGAUUAGCUAGUUGGUGUAGGUAACGGCUCACCAAGGCUACGAUCGAUAGGGGGUCUGAGAGGAUGAUCCCCCACACUGGUACUGAGAUACGGACCAGACUCCUACGGGAGGCAGCAGUAGGGAAUAUUGGUCAAUAGACGCAAGUCUGAACCAGCCAUGCCGCGUGCAGGAAGACGGCCCUCUGGGUUGUAAACUGCUUUUGAUAGGGAACAAAUGCCACUUGCGAGUGGAGCUGAGUGUACCUAUAGAAUAAGCACCGGCUAACUCCGUGCCAGCAGCCGCGGUAAUACGGAGGGUGCAAGCGUUGUCCGGAUUUAUUGGGUUUAAAGGGUGCGUAGGCGGCCUAAUAAGUCAGUGGUGAGAGCCUCCAGCUUAACUGGAGAACUGCCAUUGAUACUGUUAGGCUUGAGUAUACUUGAGGUAGGCGGAAUUGACAGUGUAGCGGUGAAAUGCAUAGAUAUUGUCAAGAACACCAAUUGCGAAGGCAGCUUACUAAAUUAUAACUGACGCUGAGGCACGAAAGUGUGGGUAUCAAACAGGAUUAGAUACCCUGGUAGUCCACACUGUAAACGAUGAUUACUCGCUGUUGGCGAUAAACUGCCGCCGGCCAAGCGAAAGCGUUAAGUAAUC
rnacentral:rRNA from 1 species